UGGCGACCGGCGCACGGGUGAGUAACACGUAUCCAACCUGCCGAUAACUCGGGGAUAGCCUUUCGAAAGAACGAUUAAUAUCCGAUAGGAUAUCAAGGUCGCAUGAUCUUGAUAUUAAAGAAUUUCGGUUAUCGAUGGGGAUGCGUUCCAUUAGCUAGUUGGCGGGGUAACGGCCCACCAAGACGACGAUGGAUAGGGGUUCUGAGAGGAAGGUCCCCCACAUUGGAACUGAGACACGGUCCAAACUCCUACGGAAGGCAGCAG
rnacentral:rRNA from 1 species